CGCCGCCCGUACGCCGCCACCACCAGCGCCCGACCCCGAGCUCCUCCUCACGUGCGCCUCCUCCCCUGCCUCCCUCGCGCGUCGUCCGGCGACCGCCCAGGUCACGCCGCCGCUCCCCUGCCUUCUCUCUCUCCCCCCCCCCCUCUCUCUAAUCUCCCCUUUUAUCUCCUUCUCUCCAGGAGCUCAGUGCCAGGGCCAUGGAUGCCCAGUCCUCGAGCUCGAGGUUCGAACGCCGCCACGUGACCUCCACUGGCCAGAUCCGGCGCCUCCCUCCGGGAUCCGCGCGCCCUCCACCUCCUCUACCCGAUCCGGGGCCGCCCAACCCGCCAUGACCUCCACCAUGGAGCUCCUGUAGCUCGUCCCCUGCCUCCUGUUCCUGUGCUCGAGGGAGACGCGCCUCCAGCGCAGCAAGCACAAGGCCCAGCCGUGCCAAGGCCUACCCCGACCACCUCUGCGUCCAGCCGGCAUACCCUGCGCGACGCUCGACCCGGUGUCGCGCCAGCCGCCAACCGACGCCAGAUCGCAGCACCCUGAACCACCGUUCCACCUCAGCUCCUCCUCUCAUCCGUGCCCCCGAGCUCCUCGCUAUGCGCCGCCCUGGAGGGCUCGCGCUCGCCAGCUGGUUGUCGUUGCACUCGCAGGCGACCUCGCCGUCGCCUCAGCACUGCCCUCCACCUCAACUGAUGAUUUAGCUGGUUAUUAUAGCUUGUGGAUGUUCUCUGUUGUUUUUUUGCACACAAGGUGUUUGUCUGUUUGUCCGAGCCAAUGUUCAUGAGCUUUAUCUUUGCUGUGAAUAAAUGACCUGGCUGAGAAGGUCCCUUCAAUGAAAGGAGGAGUAUGGUCUUGGCCAUGGCUGGGAAGGAAGGAGAACAUGUAAAUUGAGGAUUUUUCAGAGCGAUCGGGACUGCUUGAUUUAUCAGUGGACUGGUGCGCUGGUUGAUUAGGAUCUUUCAGAGAGAUCAGGGUUGCUUGAUUAACCAGAGAGAAACUGGAUCAGUACUUGGAGUUGGGACUGGUGUGCUACGGUUGCUUGAUUAAUCAGAGAGAAACUUAUCAUAAUUUAUGAUUUCCUUUUCUUGAUUUGGAGCAAGUGUCUUUGCUGGAGUCAGCAUCCUUGUGGUUGAUCUCAUAUACACGAGGAUUAUCCGAGUCAGCUCCUUGUGGUUGAUCUCAUAUACAUGAGGAUUAUCCGAUUAUUAAAGCACAUAAAUUGGAGUUGAAAUAUAGGCGGGUUGUGUACACGGGGUACAUGUACGUGAUGUAAACAAAACCUAUAUAACUCAGGGAAUCGGUACUACAAGAGAGCUUCAAGCUGACGGCCAAUAGGAAUGGAAGACAUGACUUGAUGGAGAAAUCAGGGAACAUACAUUCUGCUCUCUUGUUCUUCAGCUUGGGGUGUCGGCAACUACCUAUUACUACUAGGGAGUCUUAUUUCGGACGGAAAGAAAAUACAAUAUUGGGUUUUAUCCAUUUGUAUGCCUGCGUUAGCCUUAUGAAGCACAAAGGAUGUCCCAGUGAUCAAGCACGGAUGAUACUUGGUGUAUUCUUACUAGGCUAAUGGGCAAAUACUCGAAUAACUGAAUCACCUGCCAUCUUUUUUUAUUGUAACGGCGGUGUUAUAUCUGCAACAACAGUUUGUAAAUUUUUCUGUAUAAUUGUGAAUAUACAUCUUGGUAGCUAUAAUUGAUCAAUCACGGAUGAUA